GUGUUUGCUUCACAGGCGCAUUUACUAAAGUUGGAACAGUACAGAGAUUAGCACGGCCCCUGGGAAAGAUGAUAUGUGAAAUCCUGAAAACAAAAUCAACAUU